AUAAAAGCGUUGAACUAAUAAAGUAACUGAUUGUUUAGGAGUAUAAGAGACUUAGUGGGUGGUGUGAACUAAGCCAGGCAUUUAGUGAAUUACAAUUAGGGAGCUGACAUUUUGUCCGGCAUUGUCGUUAAUCGAAUGAGUGAACAGUUAAUUAUUGUUAAUCAGGGUGGUAUCGCGGAGCUUCCGUCCCUUUA
rnacentral:ncRNA from 1 species